rnacentral:tRNA from 1 species
GCUGCUUUAGCUCAGUUGGUAGAGCGCGUCCUUGGUAAGGACGAGGUCCCGGGUUCAAAUCCCGGAAGCAGCUCCA